rnacentral:rRNA from 1 species
GUAGUCAUAUGCUUGUCUCAAAGAUUAAGCCAUGCAUGUCUAAGUAUAAGCAAUUAUACCGCGAAACUGCGAAUGGCUCAUUAUAUAAGUUAUCGUUUAUUUGAUAAUACUUUACUACUUGGAUGACCGUGGUAAUUCUAGAGCUAAUACAUGCCGAAAAUCCCGACUUCGGAAGAGAUGUAUUUAUUAGAUUAAAAACCAAUGCCCUCUGGGCUCUCUGGUGAUUCAUGAUAACUUCUCGAAUCGCAUGGCCUUGCGCCGGCGAUGGUUCAUUCAAAUUUCUGCCCUAUCAACUUUCGAUGGUAAGGUAUUGGCUUACCAUGGUUUCAACGGGUAACGGGGAAU